GUUGGAGACUGUGCCGAGGCUACAAAGGAAAGAGUUCUAGGUUUCAUCGAGAGUGAUUGCCCGUGCAGAGGGAAUUUGCGAAGCAAAAGAGAAAAGUAAGAGACAUAAGUAAAGGAAAGGAAGAGCGGUUUCACAUGGAGGCUGAGUCGUGGUUGUAGUAUAUGAAGUGAAGAUAGGAUCGUAGGCAUGGCGGUGGCCGGAAGGGAAAUGGCUGGUCUCCUACCCUCUAUGCUCUCGUUCAGUCGUUCGCUGAGCACAGUGAGCAGCUAA
rnacentral:misc_RNA from 1 species